UAUUUUUAGCCCAUUUGUUAUAUAUUAAAACUUUACAUUAACACAAAAGAUCACGUUUUCUGCACCUGAUUACUUUAAGUUAAACAACAGAUGUCCAAAAGGUGUAUAUCUUUACAAAAGGGCUACUUGAGAUAUAGGGGAGGAAAAACAAAUCCAGACUUGUGAUUUCGAAAACGCUGAGCUAUUGAACUAACGGAGUUGAAACUUUUGAUGCAAGAAAAAAUCAGACAUUCGGAGCAAACCUGACCAGCAUUUUAAUUGUUGGGUGUAGCAGAAUUAACAGCGAAUAAAGAGAAUCUGUUAACGUUUCUGAAGAUGAGUGGCAAAUCCUGGAGUUCUGAUGAAGUGAAAUGGAUUAUAUUGGUUAUAACAAUCAUCUGUGUUUCUCUGGCAACCCUGCUACGCAAAAACUCCAUUGAUUCCAGACAUUUCUCAUCUCGGCGUAGAUAUCGCAAUGGCUGCAACGAGUACACUAAUUCAACCUGUACAAGGUCAAUGUAAAUGUGUAGCAAAUAUACUAUACAUAAUGCUUGAUAAGAAACAAUGUUGAUAUGAUCAAAUUCCUUACUCCAAACUGAAAAAAAAACAACCUAUAUAGAUUAUAAAAUAGAGCUGAAUUGGAUAGUCCAAUGUUGAAGUUUUCGUUGAGGUUGUGUUAGUAAUAGUAUUCUAUCUCUUUAAUGUUUAACUAAAUGUUCACUGUUUGUUUUAGGAUUUUAACAGUAGCAUUCAAUGUUACGUUUCAAAUUCCUGCAAGUCUUGACUUUUUAUUACAGUUGAAAACAAUUGAAAUAAGUUUAAAUUAAUUUAAAUUAUAGUGACAACUUCGCUGAAGAAUCUUGGAUGUUAAUAGGUGAGCAUACUGUUUUGAUGGCAAGAAAUUUUUUCAUACACAAGAUUUUCACUAGAAUAUCGAAAUGUCUUUUUUUUAAUGGGCAUAUCACACAAGUGUUGCCCGUGUAUCACAACUCGUAAGUUGUUAUUCAGCGUUUGGUGUGGUUUGACUUGAACUUCGCGCAAAGCUACACGAGGGGUAUCUUCGCUGGCCGUCGCUUAAUUUAGCAGUGAUAGACUAGAAGGAUGGCAGCUAGUUAACACCGCCACCGCUAACUCUUGGGCCACUCUUUUGCCAACGAAUAGUGGAACUCAUCGUCACAUUAUAUCGCCUCUACGGCUGAAAGGGCGAACCCGCAACCAUCAGAUUGCGUGUCAAGUAGACUUACCACGAGGCCAUGCCAGGCCUGUUAUUCAGAGCAGGUUAUAAGUGAUCACUAAUAGUGUACCCUAUGUAACUUGUUUUGUUAGUUCGUUAGUGCAAAGUUACACACUACACAAUCAACUAUCUGCAAUACUGCAAUGUGUUCACCGCGGGGAAUCGAGCCCAUAAUUUUAGCACUGUAGGUUCGUGAACUUACGCUGCUGACCCAUCAACAGACAAAGAAUAAAAGAUCAUUAUGUUUGUCUACAGAAUGUCUUGCCAUCAAAAUAAUAUUCUCGACUACUGAUGUCGAAGAUAUAGCUGAAACAUUUGAAGGUAGAUGGUGGAUAUUGACCAAUGUAAUACAAUCUGUAACAAUAAAGAUAGGUGGUGGAUAUUUACCCAUAUAAUACAAUUUGUAAUAAUAUAGAUUGAUGGUGGAUAUUGACCAAUGUAAUACAAUCUGUAAUAAUAUAGAUAGAUGGUGGAUAUUGACCCAUGUAAUGAACUCUGUAACAAUAAAGAUAGGUGAUGGAUAUUUACCAUGUAAUACAAUUUGUAACAAUAAAGACAGAUGGUGGAUAUUGAUCCAUGUAAUACAUUAUGUAACAAUAAAGGCAGAUGGUGGAUAUUGACCCAUGUAAUACAUUAUGUAACAAUAAAGGCAGAUGGUGGAUAUUGACCCAUGUAAUA
rnacentral:lncRNA from 1 species